UGGCGCCUACGGGACGCAGCAGUGAGGAAUAUUGGUCAAUGGGCGAGAGCCUGAACCAGCCAAGUCGCGUGAGGGAGUACUGCCCUAUGGGUUGUAAACCUCUUUUGUCGGGGAGCAAAAGCCGGACGUGUCCGGCUGUGAGAGUACCCGAAGAAAAAGCAUCGGCUAACUCCGUGCCAGCAGCCGCGGUAAUACGGAGGAUGCGAGCGUUAUCCGGAUUUAUUGGGUUUAAAGGGUGCGUAGGCGGGACGGUAAGUCAGCGGUAAAAAUGCGGAGCUCAACUCCGUCGAGCCGUUGAAACUGCC
rnacentral:rRNA from 1 species